rnacentral:sRNA from 1 species
UUGGGGUUGGGUUAGUCGGUUAGAUGGUAGAUUGGCUGGUACAUAUGUUUAGGUUACGUACACUUACACAUAUUCUACAUUUAAACUAAAUUACAUAAUUGUUUAUUUUAUAUAUUUUUUGGUGCAAAAUACAGCCCUGGGUGGUCUUUCCUCAAACCCAUUUUCUUUGCCAGUCCAUUUUGCAUAUUUUCGUUUUCGCUUUCCAAUUUUUGAUGAAGGCCUUCAUUUUUGGUCUAGCGUUUUUCUCUUUGCGGCCUGAUUUAUGUCGCUCUCAUGCAACGGAAUGCGACCAGGUUGAUGUAUGAUUUAAAUUUUAUGAAAAUCAUUUGAAAUAUUUUCGUAUGCGAUUGGACAAAGAAAAUGUUUUGAUUUCAUAUCACCGAUCUUGCGUGUCGAUUUUUUUUCUCGUUUUCGUUUUUUUCGCUUGUUUUUUUUGUUCCUCUCUUCAGCUGUUGGUUGGAAAGAACUAAACCUUGCUUGAAUAAUUUAAAGUUUUUUUAUAUGUAUUUUUUUGUUUUUAAUUUUUCUUCUCUCAUUCGUUGAUUUUAAUAUUCAUUAUUCUUUUCUCCUAUAAAAUGCUGCAAAUAUUAGAUUUGAAUCUUCUUUGUUUUCUUUGUAAGCAACACGGGGAAUAGAAGAGGAAGAAAACUCAUUUUUUGCGGGUAGUUGGAGGGGGAGUGGGAGAGAAAGAGGUGGCAAAAUAUUUUAAUUCCUUAUUAUUAAUUGACCUUCUUCAUUUUCAUUUUUACGAACCUUAGGUGAGGUAGUGUAAAGAGUGGAGGGUAGGGGUUGGGUAUUUUUAAUGGGUAAUUUAUUCAUAAUUUUGCCUAGUUUCUGUUUUCUUCAUUCAUUAUGCAUAAUUGUAAUGGGUUCGUCUUGAAAAUAUGGUAAUACAUUUUGCUAUCGUUAUUCGCAAUGACCUCAACCAAACACAUUCACAGGGAAAAGAACACAAUGAGCAAAACAAAUGAAAGCCUUAAACAAGUAAUUGGCGAAAUCGCACUAAUAGCAUAAGACAAUUGUUGUAGUUAAGGUGAGCGAGAAUAUCUACCGCGGCGGUCCAUUUCAACAGCAAAGACAAACGGAUACUAAAGGACUUUUGUUAUGCUCUAACCCAAUGGCAAAUCGAAAAUAGAGAACAAAAUAAAAACAUAUGAACGGGGGGCAAAUAUGAAUCAAUACCACAGAAAUAUGUGUAUGUCACUCCAGUGGGGAAUACAAUAGAACAAUAGUCGUCAACUCAAACAACACCAAAUGAAAAGAACAGAUACUUAACUUGGAAGACCAACAAAAAGAACAAAUAACGACAAUAAAAAUUUAAAAAAAAAACGAAAUUAUUAAAACAUGAAUUAUACUUUCCAACACAAAUAAAACUUGUUAAAGUAGCACAACCUAAAAAAAAAAUGAAAUAAAAACAUUACAUUUUCCA